AAAUAGUCCAGUUCAAAAGCAGGUCUGAUUUCCUGAAGCAAGCACAAGCCCUUCCUUCUGAGAUCCAGUGUCAAGAGUGAGCGGGAUGAGGAUGGGACCCCGAGCACAGCUAGCCAAGCCCAUUCUAACCUAAUGGAAAUCUGAUAUACGGUCCAGACAUUCCUAAGUGACAAAUUUCUCUACUCAAACUGCUUGCUGACAUCCAUAUAGCAUGAAGUGAUUUGGUUUUCCUGAUUCUGCAGUCAGUGCGUGGCCUCAGCUCCAUCUCACUGUGCCCCUUCCCGAGCAGGAAGCUGCCAGAUGGCUGCAGGACCUGAUCUCACCUCCAGGCUGCUUCACAGAACUGACACUGUCUUACAAGGUUUUA